GGGGAAUUGGCGGUUAACGACAUGCUCACUUUACUUGGACGUUUUCUAAUCGUCUUCUUUGGAAUAUGCUUUCAAGGUCUGUGAAGCCAAACUUGAUGCUGGGGAUUUAUUUUUGUCAGUGGAGUCAAAUGGUCUAGAUGAUCACAUCUGACUUUGUCAUUUAAAUGAGGUGGACUUGCAAACUUUGCACUCUUUUGGGUAAAUUGCUGUCCACUACAUAUACACAGAAUGUGCACAGUAUUUCAGAUCUAAAAAGGGAGUAUGUAAUGGACUUGCUGGCUUUAAUGUAAAAAGCCUGUUGUGUAACUUUAAUGAGGCAGUUGGACUAAAACAGUAUUGCUCAUCAAGGUAAACAUCUGAGGAAUAAG
ensembl:lncRNA